UCGGCAUGAUGAUGAUGAUAUUGAUUAAUAUUUUCAUAUGAUGAUUCAAAUGAUGAAUACAAUCCUCCUACUCAUUCUGA